CACGUAGGGCGCAAGCGUUGUCCGGAAUUAUUGGGCGUAAAGAGCUCGUAGGUGGUUUGUUACGUCCGCUGUGAAAUCCUAGGGCUUAACCCUGGGCUUGCAGUGGAUACGGGCAGACUAGAGGUAGGUAGGGGAGAAUGGAAUUCCUGGUGUAGCGGUGAAAUUCGUAGAUAUCGGGGAGGAACACCAGUGGCGAAGGCGGCGAUCUGGGAAGAUACUGACGCUGAGGUGCGAAAGCGUGGGGGAGCGAACAGG
rnacentral:rRNA from 1 species